CACGGGUGAGUAACACGUAUCCAACCUGCCGUCUACUCUUGGACAGCCUUCUGAAGGAAGAUUAAUACAAGAUGGCAUCAUGAGUUCACAUGUUCACAUGAUUAAAGGUAUUCCGGUAGACGAUGGGGAUGCGUUCCAUUAGAUAGUAGGCGGGGUAACGGCCCACCUAGUCUACGAUGGAUAGGGGUUCUGAGAGGAAGGUCCCCCACAUUGGAACUGAGACACGGUCCAA
rnacentral:rRNA from 1 species